UACGGAGGGUGCGAGCGUUGUCCGGAAUCACUGGGCGUAAAGGGCGCGUAGGCGGCUGGGGAAGUCGGCGGUGAAAGCCCGGAGCUCAACUCCGGGUCGGCCGUCGAGACUCCUCGGCUCGAGCUCACUAGAGGCAGAUGGAUUCCGGGUGUAGCGGUGGAAUGCGUAGAGAUCCGGAAGAACACCGGUGGCGAGGCGGUCUGCUGGGGUGAGGCUAGACGCUGAUGCGCGACAGCGUGGGGAGCAACA
rnacentral:rRNA from 1 species